UUUCUUUUUUGAAAGCAUUUCUUAAAAUGAAGAACAGAUCCAUGUUUUACCUUCUUUCCUUCUUAUUACAUGUUUUACCUUCUCUCCUUCUUAUUACAUUUCUCAAAUGAAGAACAGAUCCAUGUUUUACUUUUUUGAAGCAUUUCUCAAAUGAAGAACAUAUUUUACCUCCCAAAAAUCCAGAGAGAUAGAUGGUAAGAGAGAGAAGAUCGGAGAGAGAGAGGCAAUGAGGAUCGGUGAGAGAGGCAGUGAAGAUAGGAGAAAGAUCAGAAGAUCGAACGGGUGUUCCAUACAACAUCAGAUUCAGAUCUGGUUCAAGUGGUGGAGGUGACGGUGGUUCCUCCUGCCGGAAAACCACUUAGUAGCUACUUGGCGGUGGUGGUACAUGCCUAGAAAAAUUUCUUGGGUCCGCCACUGUUGAUUUUUGUAGAGUGACGUGAAGCAUGGUGAGGUUCAUAUGAUGGUUCGAUGUUUCAGAUUACAGGGUCAAUGUUGAACAACUGGUUAAGAUCUGAAGCAUUUUUGUAAUUGCAUGUUGCAUUUUUUGCUCAUGUAAAAAAUGGGUCUUAUUGUUCCAAAUCUAAAAGAUGAUCUGAAAUCCAAAAAGAGGAUCCAGUUCCAAGAUGCUACGAUCCAAAAGAUGCUCCAGAUCCGGUUGAAGAUGUUCGAUGUUGAAGAUGAUAUUCCAUAUAACGCCUAGCAACUGCCCUUUCAUUGGUUGGGUCGACCCACCGAUGUGCUUACGGUCAACUAGGAUCAUACCAGGUCUUUUGAGGAACAUCAACAACCUGCAAGCUGAACUGUUUACCCGUGAGCAAGAAAUUCGGAAGAAGAAGAGGGUUAUAUGGUUACUGAUAUUAGCGUUAGUGAUUGGCAGCUUACUUGUUAGCAUUGUUUGUUGUGAUUAAGAAAUAAGUGGUACUUAGUUGGAUUAUCCUUCUUAGUAUGUUAAUGACAUUUGUAGUAUGUACUUGUUGAUGUUUGGUUGAAUCUGAGAAUUUUCUAUGUUAUGGAUUU